rnacentral:rRNA from 1 species
GGUAGCCAUGCCUGAAUUUCUUUGGGAAUUCAGUGAAGCGACGAUGUAACACCAGAUUAUUCUUGCAGUACUUCUUAUCUGGUGCAGACCAGAAACAGGUGCAGGUGGGCAGUUCGGCUGGGGCGGCACCCCUUUGAAAAGAUAUCAAAGGGGCCCAAAGUUUAGUUCAAACGGGUCAGAAAUCCGUUGAAGAGGGCAAAGCCAAAAACUAGACUGACAGGAUUUCCAAACGCACGGAAUUCUGAGACGAAAGUCUGGCUUAGCGAUCCUUCGUGUGCCCACUAUUGGGGCCCGGAGGUGACAGAAAAAUUACCCCAGGGAUAACAGGCUCGUCGCGGGCGAGAGCUCCUAUCGACCCCGCGGUUUGGUACCUCGAUGUCGGCUUUUCCUAUCCUGGUCCUGCAGCAGGGGCCAAGGGUGAGGCUGCUCGCCUAUUAAAAGGGAACAUGAGCUGGGUUUAGACCGUCGUGAGACAGGUCGGUCUCUGCCUGAUGGAAGCGCGGCUGUCUGAGGGGAAGUUGCUCUCAGUACGAGAGGAACAGAGCAACGUGGCCACUGGUCUACCGGUUGUCUGAUAAGGCAGGCCGGGCAGCUAAGCCGUUUGGAUUAAGUGCUGAAAGCAU